rnacentral:rRNA from 1 species
UAGUCCACGCCGUAAACGAUGAAUGCUAGGUGUGGGGGACAUAAGUCCUCUGUGCCGAAGCUAACGCAUUAAGUAUUCCGCCUGGGGAGUACGGUCGCAAGACUGAAACUCAAAGGAAUUGACGGGGGCCCGCACAAGCAGCGGAGCAUGUGGUUUAAUUCGAAGCAACGCGAAGAACCUUACCAAGGCUUGACAUCCUCUGACCGCCAUAGAAAUAUGGUUUCCCUUCGGGGCAGAGUGACAGGUGGUGCAUGGUUGUCGUCAGCUCGUGCCGUGAGGUGUUGGGUUAAGUCCCGCAACGAGCGCAACCCCUAUGUUUAGUUGCCAGCACGUAAUGGUGGGAACUCUAGACAGACCGCCGAGGACAACUCGGAGGAAGGUGGGGACGACGUCAAAUCAUCAUGCCCCUUAUGUCUUGGGGCUACACACGUGCUACAAUGGGCUGGGUACAAAGGGGCAGCGAUACCGUAAGGUGGGAGCGAAUCCCAUAAAGCCAGUCUCAGUUCGGGAUCGU